rnacentral:misc_RNA from 1 species
AAGUCGUAACAAGGUCUCCGUAGGUGAACCUGCGGAGGGAUCAUUACAAGUGACCCCCGGCUCCGGCCGGGGAUGUUCAUAACCCUUUGUUGUCCGACUCUGUUGCCUCCGGGGCGACCCUGCCUUUUCACGGGCGGGGGCCCCGGGUGGACACAUCAAAACUCUUGCGUAACUUAGCAGUCUGAGUAAAUUUAAUUAAUAAUUAAAA